CCCUUAGAUGUUCUGGGUCGCACGCGCGCUACACUGUUCGACGCAGCGAGUCUUAACCUUGACCGAAAGGUUUGGGUAAUCUUCAGCAAAGUCGAACGUGAUGGGGAUCGAUCAUUGCAAUUAUUGAUCGUGAACGAGGAAUUCCUAGUAAGUGCAAGUCAUCAGCUUGCGCUGAUUACGUCCCUGCCCUUUGUACACACCGCCCGUCGCUACUACCGAUUGAAUGGUUUAGUGAGAUCUCUGGAUUGACGCUGGCUAGGGGGCGACCCUUGGCCAGGCUGUCGAGAAACUGCUCAAACUUGAUCAUUUAGAGGAAGUAAAAGUCGUAACA
rnacentral:rRNA from 1 species